rnacentral:rRNA from 1 species
CCACCAAAGCAUUUGCUGUACCGCGUUGACGGAGCGAAGCGACGUCAAACCGAUAAAACAGCAGUGUAAAGUGAGCCGCAGGGCGCUUUGCGCGACAGCGCAAAGGCAGGCGGUUUCGCGUAGCGAAAGCGAAUGCUUUGGGGUGGGGUGACUGCGUACCUUUUGUAUAAUGGGUCAGCGACUUAUAUUCUGUAGCAAGGUUAACCGAAUAGGGGAGCCGGAGGGAAACCGAGUCUUAAUUGGGCGUUAAGUUGCAGGGUAUAGACCCGAAACCCGGUGAUCUAGCCAUGGGCAGGUUGAAGGUUGGGUAACACUAACUGGAGGACCGAACCGACUAAUGUUGAAAAAUUAGCGGAUGACCUGUGGCUGGGGGUGAAAGGCCAAUCAAACCGGGAGAUAGCUGGUUCUCCCCGAAAGCUAUUUAGGUAGCGCCUCGUGAAUUCAUCUCCGGGGGUAGAGCACUGUUUCGGCUAGGGGGCCAUCCCGGCUUACCAACCCGAUGCAAACUGCGAAUACCGGAGAAUGUUAUCACGGGAGACACACGGCGGGUGCUAACGUCCGUCGUGAAGAGGGAAACAACCCAGACCGCCAGCUAAGGUCCCAAAGUCAUGGUUAAGUGGGAAACGAUGUGGGAAGGCCCAGACAGCCAGGAUGUUGGCUUAGAAGCAGCCAUCAUUUAAAGAAAGCGUAAUAGCUCACUGGUCGAGUCGGCCUGCGCGGAAGAUGUAACGGGGCUAAACCAUGCACCGAAGCUGCGGCAGCGACACUGUGUGUUGUUGGGUA